AUCCGGAUCAGGGACAGUGUCUGAUGGGUAGUUUAACUGGGGCGGUUGCCUCCUAAAGAGUAACGGAGGCGCCCAAAGGUUCCCUCAGCCUGGUUGGCAAUCAGGUGUUGAGUGUAAGUGCACAAGGGAGCUUGACUGUGAGACCGACGGGUCGAGCAGGGACGAAAGUCGGGACUAGUGAUCCGGCGGUGGCUUGUGGAAGCGCCGUCGCUCAACGGAUAAAAGGUACCCCGGGGAUAACAGGCUGAUCUUCCCCAAGAGUCCAUAUCGACGGGAUGGUUGGCACCUCGAUGUCGGCUCGUCGCAUCCUGGGGCUGGAGUCGGUCCCAAGGGUUGGCUGUUCGCCCAUUAAGCGGUACGCGAGCGUGGGUUUAGAACGUCGUGAGA
rnacentral:ncRNA from 1 species